rnacentral:rRNA from 1 species
GAAACCCUACGGAGGCAGCAGUGGGGAAUAUUGCGCAAUGGGGGCAACCCUGACGCAGCAACGCCGCGUGCAGGAAGAAGGUCUUCGGAUUGUAAACUGUUGUCGCAGGGGAAGAAGACAGUGACGGUACCCUGUGAGAAAGUCACGGCUAACUACGUGCCAGCAGCCGCGGUAAUACGUAGGUGACAAGCGUUGUCCGGAUUUACUGGGUGUAAAGGGCGCGUAGGCGGGAUAGCAAGUCAGUCGUGAAAUGCCGAGGCUUAACCUCGGAGCUGCGAUUGAAACUGUUAGUCUUGAGUAUCGGG